rnacentral:rRNA from 1 species
GAUGAACGCUGGCGGCGUGCCUAAUACAUGCAAGUCGAGCGAACAGACGAGGAGCUUGCUCCUCUGACGUUAGCGGCGGACGGGUGAGUAACACGUGGAUAACCUACCUAUAAGACUGGGAUAACUUCGGGAAACCGGAGCUAAUACCGGAUAAUAUAUUGAACCGCAUGGUUCAAUAGUGAAAGACGGUUUUGCUGUCACUUAUAGAUGGAUCCGCGCCGCAUUAGCUAGUUGGUAAGGUAACGGCUUACCAAGGCAACGAUGCGUAGCCGACCUGAGAGGGUGAUCGGCCACCCGGGAACUGAGACACGGUCCAGACCCCUACGGGGGGCAGGAGGAGGGAAUUCUCCGAAAUGGGCGAAAGCUUGACGGAGCAACGCCGCGUGGGUGAUGAAGGUUUUCGGAUCGUAAAACUUUUUUAUUAGGGAAGAAAAAAUGUGUAAGUAACUAUGCCCGUCUUGACGGUACCAAAGCAGAAAGCCACGGCUAACUACGU